UUUGACCUCGGAUCAGGUAGGAAUACCCGCUGAACUUAAGCAUAUCAAUAAGCGGAGGAAAAGAAACCAACAGGGAUUGCCCUAGUAACGGCGAGUGAAGCGGCAACAGCUCAAAUUUGAAAUCUGGCUUCGGCCCGAGUUGUAAUUUGCAGAGGAUGUUUCUGGCGCGGUGCCUUCCGAGUUCCCUGGAACGGGACGCCACAGAGGGUGAGAGCCCCGUAUGGUUGGAUACCAAGCCUGUGUGAAACUCCUUCGACGAGUCGAGUAGUUUGGGAAUGCUGCUCAAAAUGGGAGGUAAAUCUCUUCUAAAGCUAAAUAUUGGCCAGAGACCGAUAGCGCACAAGUAGAGUGAUCGAAAGAUGAAAAGCACCUUGAAAAGGGGGUUAAACAGUACGUGAAAUUGUUGAAAGGGAAGCGCUCAUGACCAGACUUGUGCCGGGCGGUUCAUCCGGGGUUCUCCCCGGUGCACUCCACCCGGUUCAGGCCAGCAUCGGUUUCUGCUGGGGGAUAAGAACGGUAGGAACGUGGCCCUCCUUCGGGAGGGUGUUAUAGCCUACCGUACGAUACCCUAGCGGAGACCGAGGUUCGCGCUCCGCAAGGAUGCUGGCGUAAUGGUCAUCAGCGACCCGUCUUGAAACACGGACCAAGGAGUCGUCCAUUAGAGCGAGCGUUUGGGUGUAAAACCCGCACGCGUAAUGAAAGUGAAAUUAGGUGAGAGCUUCGGCGCAUCAUCGACCGAUCCUGAUGUUCUCGGAUGGAUUUGAGUAAGAGUUUUAACGGACGGACCCGAAAGACAGUGAACUAUGCUUGUAUAGGGUGAAGCCAGAGGAAACUCUGGUGGAGGCUCGCAGCGGUUCUGACGUGCAAAUCGAUCGUCAAAUAUGAGCAUGGGGGCGAAAGACUAAUCGAACUGUCUAGUAGCUGGUUACCGCCGAAGUUUCCCUCAGGAUAGCAGUGUUGACCUUCAGUUUUAUGAGGUAAAGCGAAUGAUUAGGGACUCGGGGGCGCUUUUUAGCCUUCAUCCAUUCUCAAACUUUAAAUAUGUAAGAAGCCCUUGUUACUUAAUUGAACGUGGGCAUUCGAAUGUACCAACACUAGUGGGCCAUUUUUGGUAAGCAGAACUGGCGAUGCGGGAUGAACCGAACGCGGGGUUAAGGCGCCAGAGUGUACGCUCAUCAGACACCACAAAAGGCGUUAGUACAUCUUGACAGCAGGACGGUGGCCAUGGAAGUCGGAAUCCGCUAAGGACUGUGUAACAACUCACCUGCCGAAUGUACU
rnacentral:rRNA from 1 species